CAGUAGCCGCGGUAAUACGUAGGUGGCAAGCGUUGUCCGGAUUUAUUGGGCGUAAAGCGUGCGCAGGCGGUUGUGUAAGACAGGUGUGAAAUCCCCGGGCUUAACCUGGGAACUGCGCUUGUGACUGCACAGCUAGAGUAUGGCAGAGGGGGGUGGAAUUCCACGUGUAGCGGUGAAAUGCGUAGAUAUUAGGAAGAACACCAGUGGCGAAGGAGACUUUCUGGACGAAAACUGACGCUGAGGCGCGAAAGCCAGGGGAGCGAACGGGAUUAGAUACCCGAGUAGUCCCUGUCUCUUAUAC
rnacentral:rRNA from 1 species